rnacentral:rRNA from 1 species
UACGGAGGAUGCAAGCGUUAUCCGGAAUGAUUGGGCGUAAAGCGUCCGCAGGUGGCAAUGUAAGUCUGCUGUCAAAGCGUCUGGCUCAACCAGAUAAAGGCAGUGGAAACUACAUAGCUAGAGUAAGGUAGGGGUAGAGGGAAUUCCAGGUGUAGCGGUGAAAUGCGUAGAUAUCUGGAGGAACACCGGUGGCGAAGGCGGCAUCCUGGACCGGCAUUGACGCUGAGGAGCGAAAGCCAGGGGAGCAAACGGG